CCUACGGGUGGCAGCAGUGGGGAAUAGUGCGCAAUGGGCGAAAGCCUGACGCAGCGACGCCGCGUGAGGGAUGAAGGUCUUCGGAUCGUAAACCUCUGUCAGCAGGGAAGAACGGUCACUGUGCUAAUCAGAAGUGACUUGACGGUACCUGCAAAGGAAGCACAGGCUAACUCCGUGCCAGCAGCCGCGGUAAUACGGAGGGUGCGAGCGUUAAUCGGAAUUACUGGGCGUAAAGCGCUCGUAGGCGGUAUGUCAAGUCAAGGGUGAAAUCCCCGCGCUCAACGUGGGAACUGCCUUUGAAACUGGCAAACUGGAGUGUGUGAGAGGAUAGUGGAAUUCCAGGUGUAGGAGUGAAAUCCGUAGAUAUCUGGAGGAACAUCAGUGGCGAAGGCGACUAUCUGGCACAUAACUGACGCUGAGGAGCGAAAGCGUGGGUAGCAAACAGGAUUAGAUACCCGAGUAGUC
rnacentral:rRNA from 1 species